GUUUGAAUUUGGUGUUUGACGCGUUUCUUGUUUAUAUUGCUGUUUGGGUGUGCUAGAGUUUAUAGAGAAAAGGCAAUUCUUGUAACUGAACUUAGGGAACUUCAAUCUCGUCUGCUCGGUUUGUCUGAAGAGAGGGACAAGUCUCUUGCAAUUCUUUGAUAAGGUUGUUUACAAUUUAACUUAUUUAGUUGAAGAUUGUCUGAGGAUUGUUCUUACAAUUUUCAAAAGUUAAAGCAGAAGCUGAAGUUGAAGGAGAAGAAGAUGGAAAAAUUCAAAAAUGAUGAGCACAAGGAUCUUGU